AACGCACAUUGCGCCCGCCAGUAUUCUGGCGGGCAUGCCUGUUCGAGCGUCAUUUCAACCAUCAAGCCCCCGGGCUUGUGUUGGGGACCUGCGUCCGACCGCAGGCCCCGAAAACCAGUGGCGGGCUCGCUGUCCACACCGAGCGUAGUAGACAACCUCGCUGCGGAGUGGCGCGGGCGCCUGCCGUAAAAACCCCCACUUACCCAAGGUUGACCUCGGAUCAGGUAGGAAUACCCGCUGAACUUAA
rnacentral:misc_RNA from 1 species